GGAAAUGCAAGAAUUGCCGUUUCCAAAAGACGUCUCAGAUUAAUUCGGUCACAUUAACGAAAGUUCUUCAACAGCGAUGUAUGACUGCAAAGUCUCUCCAAGCAUGGCAGAAAGCAGCGAGGAUUUCCCACUGCCAACAUGGCCGACAACAGCAACCAAUGAACCGCAGGGAACUUUUACGCUGAUCCUGCUCCAACACACAGAAACCUGUGGAACUGAAAACAUGAAGGCGUCGUGGACCAUGAGGCACAACGUUCCUGUUAGGAAGUAGGGUCCGAAGCUACGAGCGAGUGUCCGUAAGAGACAGAAUCCCGAACUCUGCUCCUUCUGAAUCUUCCUGAG